AUAAAAGCUAUCCCUGUGACGUGAACACAAAGCAUCCGGCAAAUCUCGCCGACAAAAGUUCUGGAGUGGGGCACGCGUUAUUUGAUCUGACUGAUUCGAAACCAGGAUCUGGUUUUCUUGCAAAUGUAAGUCCAACUCAGCACGUCUAACAAGCGCAGUUUGAAUGCUGCUCUAAAGCAAAUUAGAGCCACGGCAAAGCUAAUUUAGCAAGACUCUUAAAAUAGACCCAUGUUAACAUUUUCCUGACGAUGAGAAAGGUGGACGCAGCUUGACUUCGGUAAAUUGCUGCAAAUGAGGAUGUCGGGGUGGAUGGCUGGCUCAGCACAGUAUGCAACUUUCAAAGUCAAUGCACAGGCUGGUAGCGACAGUCAACAGUGGUUUCUUUAAACAAGGACAACGAGGCUUCUCCCAACCCGGGGCGAGUUUUAUUCAGAGUUUAUUUUCAGAUAUUUUGGUAAAAAACACAUCACAUGGCUUUCUUGCAGAGAGUUACAUGAAGGAAUAGGUUCCACUCCCACGUCCGUACGGAAAAUAUGGAGCUACGACCAGCUGCUGGUUAACAGGGUUUAACAUAAAUAUGUCCAGCAGCACCUCUGAAGCUCACCAAUUAACCCGUUUAUUAACAUGUUGGAUCUCGUGAGAUGAGAUUGCCAGGCAGCCAGCUGAGACUCCAGGAAGUGUCCGCUCCCUGCCAAGUUGUAGUCUGGCACAUACUUGCACAUAGGUUUUUUGUUUUUACAUAACAAUUUCUGAGCAGAUUCAACAGGCAUGAUGCAAAUGUUGAUUCAGGGUGAGGAAGAAGGUGAUUCUCUUGGAUGUCGUGAUUCUUUUUUUUUUUUCUUUUUUAGGAUUUUUUUAAUUGAUUGGAAUUGAUUCAAUUGCUUUUUCUGGUCAUUAAAUGAGGUGCUGUUACCCUGCACAUGGCAAAAUGUGUUUUUCGCAGUCUGUGAUUAUAAAUAAAAUAAAGUUCCCUCUAGUGUUCCCUUCAACUCCUCUAUAAAUGUAUCACAACUUUCUAUGACUGUGCCAUGGCACAUGUUACCCCCCUCCCUUUUUUUGCCCCUUGUCCCUCGAACUUCUUGAGUCCGCCACAGCUGAAUAACAUGAUGUACAUUGUUUGUCGGAAUGCAUUUCGUGAUAUAAAGUCUUAAGGAGUGAAGGACUGGACUUCUUCCCAUGGGCUCAUGUCCAAACAUAAAAACCACAGCGUCGUGAUAGUGUUGAAUAAGCAGAUAACCAUUUUGUCCUAGUGUUAACGGAAGAGUUCACCCAAAAAUGAAAAUUCAGUCACUGUCUUCUCACCUCGACUGUCGAUGGGAAGUCAGGUGAAGUUUCGUAGUCCACGAAACGUUCCUGGAGCUCGACAGGAAAACCUCUGCAGCAUCCUCCUAAACAACUGAAGUAGGGACUGAAAAAAAAACAAACAAAUACAAAACAGCUCCACAAAGCUUUUCAGACAUAAUCCAGGUCUCCUGAAGCCCCGAGGUCCCACAUUGAUAUGAAAAGAUGCCAUUUACACCCUUUUUUAAGCUGAAAUCUUCACUUUAGCCGACGGGCUAAAAGUAUCUGAUGGGGAAGCACGAGCUCAACUGUGAACGGAGGGUGUUAAUAACAUCUUUUCAGAUCAGUUUGGGAUUUUGGGUCCCCCGCCCACCCCAGUUAUUAAGGGGAAUACUGCGAACACAUAUUUGCUGUGAAGAUCCAAAAAUGUUUUUGUUGACAUCAGCAUGAGGGUGAGGAAAUAAUAACUGCAUUUCCACUUGCGGGUGAACUCUUCAGAACACAGGUGCACAGUUUUGACGUUGCUUGGCAAGUUGUUUCCCCCGCUAAUUUCCACUCCUUUUUGCCAAGUCAAGCUAACUGGCUGCUGGCUUUAGGCUUCUGUUUACUGUCCACACAGUUCACAGUGAACAGCUCACUUGUACCAACAGUGGAAAAAAAUGUGUUCCCCGAUCUUAAUCAGGCCUCCGCAUUAAAGGUGGCAGAACAGACGGGCGCUCUAAUCAUUUUUCAAAGCCACCGACAAAUCGCUCAAAUUUUUCCUUUUAGUCUGAGAUCUUAUUGCGCAGACAAAUAGGGACCUAAAGUUCGAGGACAACACGGUCAGUUGUUAAAAGUGCCUUGCCUGGCCUUAAAAUCCCCUCUCGUUAUGAAGCCCAGUGUUCUUCAAACACACAGACCCCCCACACGGUGUCUGUUGUGUUCCUCUUUGUUGGAACAGAAAAAGCUUUCCUCAGAAUGCUAACUGACAUUUUGUGGGCAGCAUUUGAUCCGGCUGGGAACGCGUGGAGCUGGUGGGCUGAAAGGUUCCCCGCUAACCUUACAGACGGAGAACAAUCCCACGAGGGAAUAGUGUGUCCUCCCCCCCUCUGUCGCUUCCACCUCAGAACUCGGCCGGCUCUCCCUCGGGAGGAACUUCGGAGGGAUAAACAAGGCGAUUAGAGAAAUGUAUGAAGACGGAAGUUGGAGGUAUCGACUAGGGAAUUCUGACCUCCGACAUUGUGUAUAAAUCCAUGGUGCUGAAGAAGCAGGCUUUACAUCUUAGAUAAUAAGAAAUUCUCAGUUCUAUCCCAUAUUUAAGCCUGUGUACUCGCAUUGUUGCAAUGUGGAGUAAGAGUGAGCGCAUCGCAGAGGCACACUGCUGCCUGUAGUAUGAUGAAUGCAUCCUUUGGGAGGAGUACAUGAAUGUUAGUGUAGUUGAUAGUGUGGGGGCCGGGGUUGGUGCUCCCAUUGGGCCAUUCCCCCGCUAUCAAAAACAUGUAAGUAAGGUUAAUUCUCUUGGCUGAGAGCUGGUUUUGAUCUGUGGGCGCGGCAUAGCUGCUUCUCAGUGCUCCUCAUACAUACUUAGGAUGGGUUAAAUGCAGAGAACGAUCAAUAAAGGCUAACUUCAAAUACAACAGAAUUGUGUAUUUAUGUUUCUGAGCAGAUCAAUUAUUGAAAAUGUGUUCUUAUGAAUGAAUAAAUACAAUAAAAACUCACAGAUGUGAACAAAUAAAACAUA